GACGAACGCUGGCGGCGUGCUUAACACAUGCAAGUCGAACGGAAAGGCCCUGCUUUUGUGGGGUGCUCGAGUGGCGAACGGGUGAGUAACACGUGAGUAACCUGCCCUUGACUUUGGGAUAACUUCAGGAAACUGGGGCUAAUACCGGAUAGGAGCUCCUCCUGCAUGGUGGGGGUUGGAAAGUUUCGGCGGUUGGGGCUGAACUCGCGGCUUAUCAGCUUGUUGGUGGGGUAGGGGCUUACCAAGGCUUUGACGGGUAGCCGGCCUGAGAGGGUGACCGGCCACAUUGGGACUGAGAGAGGGCCCAGAAGGAGACGGUAGGCAGCAGUGGGAAAUAUUGCAGAGUGGGCCGAAGCGUGUUACAACGACGUCGGGUGCGGAAUGACGGCUUUUGGGGUGUAAACAGCGUGCGACUGUAACGAAGCGUGUGUGACGGUAACGGGUCAAGAAGCAACGGCUAACUACGUG
rnacentral:rRNA from 1 species